UAAUUUUAUCAAAUUAACUGUCCUUCCUACUUGGUUAGUUAUUUUGUAUCCAAAUACUUAACAGUUAUCCAACUAAAAGUGGACUUGCACAUUUUUCUUUUCCAAAGACAAGGCUCCCAAGUUGUCUAACCUUUCCUGUGAUGACUAGUGGCUACCAGGAUUAUGCAGAUAUUUUCAGAAAAACAGAUAUGCUUAGUAUGUCUUUUCAAGGUAAAGAUAACAUUUUAAUAGUGAAUAAGAAAGUAAUUGCUUUUCUAAAUUAAUUUGUUGCUUUGAAAACGGGUGUGGUAGCAGCUUCUGAGGUUGCCCCUGCUGAUCUUCUCUUCCUGGUAUCUAUAUCCUUGUGUAACCCCUCCCCUAGAAUAUGGACUGUGACUUAGUAACUCUAAUAAAUAGGAUUAUGGAAAAAGUUACUUCGGAAAUUAUGUUACAGAAAGGCUGAGACUUAUAUCUUAUUCACCCUCUCUCACUCUCUAUGGAGAAGCCCUUGGCAAGGAACUACCACCUCUAGCCAACAGCUGACGAGGACCUGAGUUCAUUAUGAACAAACUAUCAACAAAAACCAUCCUGUUCAGCCAGUUUCUCAGAGCAACCGUGGGAGUCAAAGCAGGAAGACAUCAGAGGAGAAUGAAAGAAGUAAGAAAGGUUUAUGAGAACCAAAAAUGGAAAAUCAUUUCUUUCACAGCAGUGCUCAGACAAGAACUCUACCCACUGAAGUCAACCGGGUAAUGGCAGCAAAAAAGGUUUAAUCCAAGUCAGUAUAAUCAACUUAUCUAAGUGCUCUGAUAUUUACUGAGUCGUGCUCUGUACUAGAUACAGUGAAAGCGAAGAGGAGGAAGCCUUCAUCCUUGUCUGCAAGAAGUCUACACUCCUAAGGGGGGAAACAAGCAUGCAAACAACUAAAUCUAAUGCAAGAGAUAAGAACACAGAGGGAAAAGCAACUAAAUGCCAAUGAGGAGACGGUUUCACUAAUCCCUACCAGGAAAUUAUACUACAGAGAAAUUUUUUUCUAAGAACACUUAGAAAGACAAAAGUGUAAAUUAAGUUUCACUGGAUGUCAUGCAAAGGAAUCCUCAAGCUCAAAGAGCAUGUCUCCUUUCAAGUUUUUGCACAGGGUGGGGAGUUGUACAGUACAAAUGCUUAUUCUUUAUUUUUUGGCUCAGUAUGUUUUUAUUUAAUUUUUAUAGAUACAUAAUAAUUGUACAUAUUUAUGGGGCACACAUAAAGUUUUGAUAACUUACAAUGCAUAAUGAUCAAAUCAGGGUAAUUGGUAUAUUCAUCACUUCAAGCAUUUAAUAUUUCUUUGUGUUAGGAACAUUUCAAUUCCGAUCUGAUUUUGAAAUAUACAAUAAGUUAUAGUUAACUCAAAUGCCCACUCUUUAGCACAAAAGUAACUGAAUAGAUAGAAAACCAGAGGAACUACUUAUAAGUGUUAUGUUUCCACCUGUGGUGACUCUAUUUUGAGAACAGAACUUAUUUUGCCUCUUCCAAAAAAAUGGUACAAAUGAAGCUGUGCAAAUUGACUAGGGUUGCACAAACAAGCUAAGCAUCCAGGUCUAUAUAACAUAAAGAAAGGGGGUAGAUAUCUGACUGGUAAGUUACCCCUCUUUCCUUCUUUUUGUUAUCCAGGGAAUUAAGCAAGUUCAGAGAACUGAACCUGGGUAAUUACCCAAUUAAACAUUUUCCUAGCAUUGGGAAAUCAUGAUGCAUGGAAAGGACAACACCAGUGGGAGAAGGCAGGAAUGCAAAAGGAGACAAGUGCCAAUCAGAGGCAAAAUCCGAGGCCCUUGUGGCCUGACUAUAAAUAAUUGCUUUUCCUCACAUCCUUGUCACCUCUUCCUAAAAUUAGAAUUAGCUUCCUGGCCUGAAAGUUAAACCUCACUCCCACACCCUCCUUUCUCACAAAGCAAUAUUCCCUAAUGCAAUAAGGUGGUGGGAUUUCAACAACAGCAAGAGUUUAGGAGUCAGGUAACUCCUUGCUCAACUCCUGCUUUUCAUUUCAGAGCUUUGUUAAUCGCUGCACCGAGCUUCUUCAUCUGAAAAAUGGGGAUGAGGAUGAUGAUGGUAACAGCUAGUAAUCAUAAAACAGGCACUGUGCAAAGCGCUUUAUAUGCAUUAUUUAUGUAAUGGGCAGUAUUCAUGAUUAUUACUACUGCAAUUGUAGUCCUCCUUUACAAAUGAAGAAAUUGAAAUUCCGAGAGGCGUUAAUUUUCCCAAGGUUUAACCUCAAUGCCUUAACUCUUGACCCUUUCUACUACUAUAAUAAUACUGCCUAAACAAGGUAUUGAAAGGGUUAACAUUAACAUGUAUGGACACACCAACUAAUGCUAUUGUCAUCGCUUUUGAUGUUGCUGUUGUUGAGCGUGAUACUGUUUUUGUUGCUUUUCUCUCUCCCCAGAUACUAGCAGUUCUAAGAUCUAAUAAGCACAAACCAUCCACCCAUAUACUGGCAAGUGUAAACCAAUGUCAUGGGAACAUUUUUGAGCACCAAAUAACAAAGCUAAUAUACCUUUUAGAUCUUUCAUUAUUAAAAUGUUUCUGUUGAGCAUGAAUGAGAGCAAGAGAAAAAGAAAUGGGAUUCAGUACUACCUAAAAUGAUCCCCCAUGCCUACGUUUCUAAAAAUUCAGAAUGACAAAUGAAAGGUACACUGUUCUUACAUGUGUCACUUAGAUUUCUUAAGAUAAAAUUAUGUAUCAUAUGCUAAUUUUUGACUAUUCAAACUGCGUUUCUGCUUCAUUCUUAUCUUUUAAUUCACUUUUCAUUGUAAUGAAAUAACUAUAAUACAUGUUUAAACCUCUAACAUGCCAAAAUGCCAAUCAGAUUAAACACAAUAGGAAGCAUUUGGCAUACCCCUGGAGACUUUCCUAAAUAAAAUAAAAUUGUUAUUACAUUUCAUCACUUCCUUUCUUAUUGCCAACUAAUGUCCCCAUGUCUGAAAGGGUCAUUUUCAAGCUACACGUCUAUUUAUAAUAGUGUGUUCACUGUCUUCCUUCCUCUGGCACAUUAUCUAUGACCUUGACCAUUUCAGGACAGAUAAAAUGGUACCAUAAACAUAUGUUUACGAAGCUCCAGACAUCUUGUAAGAGAUUUUGUGGUUAUUAAAAGCAGUAAAGAGUGACAAGCACAGUUCUAUACUAUAAUACUGCCUGUCAAGAGAAAAAUGUCACCCUUACCAUAAAGUAUCCAGAGGCAUAAUUAGGAAGUGGCAAAGGGAACGAUUUCCUGGGCACAGUAAUAACAGGGCUGAGAUGAAACACAGCAGCAAUGGAAGCUGCCUUCUCUCCAACAUGCCCGAGUGGAGCCCCAGACCACACCAAGGGUCCAGGGCAUAGUCAUGCUCCCACGUCCAAAAUGUGGAACAUCAAGGAAUGCCCAGGACAGUCACACUCAUGAAGAGGUGGCAACAAGAAUUUCUGGGAGCAAAUGAGAUAUUCUGAUGUUUCUGACUUUUCCUAAUUGCAUCAUUAUGAAAACUAAAAUAAUGAAUCCUCCUGGGCACCAACUAAGAACAUUAAAGAAAUUGAAACUUCACAGCUCCUGAUGCUCCAUACCCAUAAACACAGAUCCAUACAGUCCCCACAGAACUAUAAAUAAAUCCUGCCUGAAAGUCUCCUUCCUGUUCACAUGUUUUUCCAUAAAGCUUGGUAGUAUCUCUUUCCUUUUAUCUUAACUUUUAUCCUUGUGAUUCCUGUCGGUCAAGGACAAGAGGUACAAAUAAAAUGGGAGCUCCAGAUUCUUGCUCAGUUCAUCGCAACUCCCCCUGAAAAAGUCUCCUUUCCCAGAACCAAAGGAAUAAAAAUAAUCCCUGUAAAGUUAUGUGCUGCUUUGGGGCCCUUUCUGCAACAUAGGGAGUUCAGUGUAUCCCUAGGCAUCCUUCCAGCUCAAACAUUUUCUGAUUCUGGGAUGUGUGAGGCUGGAGAUGAGUGGAGUCUCAGGAGCGGCCCCUGCAGCCUCUAUCCUAGUCAGGAGCCGCCUCUCACAUUUGGGGGCCCAGUCCCGGCAGCUGUGAGGCCUGGGGCUAGGAGGUUGGCAUCUGUCCUCCUCAGAGCUAACAUUGGCUUCAGCAGGGGAGCAACUUUCUGUCAAGUGAUUUUUCUCACUUACAGAAAAAUCCUAUCUUUCUCACUUUUAUAAUCAGCAUUAUUCACCUGUCAGGACUCAUUCCUAUCCCAGCUUCUCCACUUAGUAGAUGUGUGACCUCUUGGGCCUCAGUUUCCUCACCUGUAAAAAGAAGGCACUAAUGACAUCAAUUGUUGUUGCAAGAAUUGAAUUGGUUAAUGUGUGGAACGUGUUAGAACAGUCCCUGGAAUACACGAAACACCAGGUAAUUGCUAACCACCAGGUGUAUUGUUAUUACUGCUGGUAGUAGUAGCUCACCAACACAAGGGAUGCCAACACUACUACCUUUCCCUUAUCUUUUCACUCCACUAAGUUUGGAAUGGAUGGUUCAGAUUCCCAUUUUAAAAGCCCCAUUGGACUUCACAAAGCCUCCUGCCAGUGCUCUGAGACUUUACCGGAAGGUUUUCAUUUUCUCUUGACAGGAGGCACACUGUGUGUGGAAAGUGUCCUUGCCACCUCUAUAGUAUAAAUAACUAUCAAAUGUGACUACGAAUCAUAAACAUGUCAGUGAUUUGAUUCCAUGGAUUUACAUCAUAAUUGAAAUAGUCAAGGUCACAAAUAAUGGGCUAAAGGAAAACAGCAGCACCAUACCACCAAUCCUGAAUUUUCUCCAACUUUUCUCUAAUAUGUACUUUUUAGCAUUUUAGAGUCCUAUAGAGUGCCUGUGUUUGAGGAAUUAAUUCCUCUCUGAUAACAUAUGUAUUUUGAAUAACACCCCAGUUACAGAUUGAAUCCUGGCGACAACAGGAAAUGGCAGAAAAAUAAUGGUCUAAAAUAUUCCCAAACCCAAACCUCUUCUCUCAGAAAGAGGUGUAGAGCUGUGACAAGUAAGCUACCACAUCGCUCACUUCUGGUCACAAUAUCCAGUAAUACUCAAAGGCUGUGGUGGUGAACUAAUAUUCUACCUAAGGUUAAAAAAAAAAAAAAAGGAUAAUAGAUCCAAUCAUUUAAAUUAUUUUUUGCCCAACAUUUGACACCUUUACAAGCUCUAAAAUGAUAAUAUGUUCCAGUCACUGAAGGUUUUAUUUUAUGAGAUUCUAUAAUUUCAAUACAUAUCAUGAACUAAUUUAUCCUUGUUCACUUUAAAUCUAGAGAGACAUCGUGGUACCAGUCAAGGUAGAUGUGGCCAGAAUCACUGAAAUAGAAUGAUUUACUUAACACUGUGCACAUUCCUCAUGGGGUGGGGGCAGGUAUGUUCAUAAAUAACUGGAAAAUCGGAAUAUUAUAAUAAACUACUUAUUUAAAUAUUGAAUACCUUUACCUUAGUAUGGGUGAAGUGGAGAUGUCAGGAGACAAAGUCUUCCUGGUGGUAUAUUGGUCCAGAGACAACUCUCUUCUCACUCUAUCUUCCCCACUGGAGGGUCCAGCCAUGUGCAAGUGGGUGGGGAGGGAAGGUGGUGUCCCAUCACUACCUCAAGUCAGUAUACCCCAAACCCAGAAUAUUGUACAAUCUAAGUUUACUCAAGUCUCUUCACUCAAGUUCAAGUGAGGUAACUCAUCUCAGACAGUGAUGUAAUCCAUCUUGUACAACAUCCAAAGUGUGGUGAGGAGUUGGGAGUGUCAUCUCUAGACUAACUCAUUCCUCGAUACUAACUGUGGGAGUGGGGCUCAAUCCCAGACUUUUGGGAGCCCCAUAUGUAUGUCCAUCCCACCAGUGGUCAGUGAGUGACUUCCCCUUGCCAUUUUCUUCUUUACAUUCUCUUCCUAACUCUCAUAGUUCCUCUCUCCCUGAAGUUUCCAUUCCUCUGGUGUCCUGGACACACGAAUGGAUUUUUAUUUAUACUCAUUAUCUGCUCCACAUGGUUCUGUUGCUAGACGGGGAAGAUUAAGAUGUCUGUGGGUAGAGGUGCUGGGGGAAGAGUUCCUCACAAUGAUGUGGUAUCUGAGGGACACCAGCUUAAAUCACAACGGUUAAUCUCUUGCUGGUACAAUUGUCCUACCUUAUCAAACUAAAGAGGCUCAGCCUCCUUCCCAGCUUUAAGUUGUAGUUCAAAAAGGUGCCUUCAAUUUCCAUACUACUCUAGAUAAAGUAGCUUCCCCAGACUUCUCUAUCCCAUUAAUUAAAUUUACUUUAUUCUUAGUAUUUAACAGUGGGUAAAAUUUAUAUUGACUUUUUUACACACUAAUUGUCUCUUCCCCCCCCCCACUCCCUGCCAACCACAUUAGAAUCUAAGAAUUCUGAUAACAUUUGUAUUUUGUAUUCACUUUCACUAGAAUGUGAAUAUCUUUAGGAUAUUCACGGCUCUAUAUGCAAUUCCUAUAAAGGUGCCUGGCACAAGAUAGGCAAGUUUCAGACCUGCAUGCCCAAUUGUCUAUUGGUUUAUCACAUGGGCAUCUCAAUCACAACUUGGACAAAACUGAAUUCUGGAAAGCGUACUUAGAAAACCCAUUCUUCCUCCUAUAUUUUCUACCGUCUACCAUUUUCCCCAGCUAGAAAAUUGUCAUCCUUUAAUUGCCUGCUCCCCUUUCCCUUUCUUCAAUUCCCCCACAUUCCUAAUUCUUCUCCUUCCUCUACAUCCAUCUCAUCUCCCCACAUCUAACUGGCAUCCAACUCAUGCCAAUUCUUCCUCCUCCAUCCUCCCUCUUUCCUAUCUUUAAAUGUUACCACUUCUGUGAAACCUUUUCCUUACCACUACUGUUAGUAGCUUUGAUCUCUGUGCUUCACACCAUCAUGUCUUUUCAGUGUUUUUAGGUCCUUUUAGGGUUUCACAGUUAAAAAUUUUGAGACCUGCUACAAAUCAUGGGCCCAAGAAAAUCCAUUUGCACUCAGACUUUUACAUAAAAUGACAGCACUCUAUAUUUCAAACCCUUUACUGAAACAUGCAUCAUGGUAACUGUGUUAUAUUUAUUUAUGUAUCUGUCUUCUUCACUAGAAUGUAAGAAGUUCUAGGACAAGUUUAUAUCAUGUUAUCUUUUUCAUAAAACUCCUUUGUUUAUAUUGCUGUGCUUAGUAUGUAUAAGGUACUAAAAAUCAUCAAAUUACUGUCUACUGCAAUAUUUAGAUGUUAUGUUAAGACAGCAUCUUCCAAAUAGUCAUUUGAAUAUCACCCUCACAAUUUUUGCCAUAUCUGCUCAACCUAUCCUACUAUGUACUUAACAAUUUGUGUAGAUUGUUUGUAAAAUCUUUACCAAAGAUUAUUUCCAUUUCUGAACAUAUGUGUCAUUAAACCCCCAAAAAGGUGUGGAGUCUAUUUCUCCUCCCCUUGAA